AACAGGAUUAGAUACCCUGGUAGUCCACGCCCUAAACGAUGUCUACUAGUUGUCGGGUCUUAAUUGACUUGGUAACGCAGCUAACGCGUGAAGUAGACCGCCUGGGGAGUACGGUCGCAAGAUUAAAACUCAAAGGAAUUGACGGGGACCCGCACAAGCGGUGGACGAUGUGGAUUAAUUCGAUGCAACGCGAAAAACCUUACCUACCCUUGACAUGUCAGGAAGUCCGGAGAGAUCUGGAUGUGCCCGAAAGGGAACCUGAACACAGGUGCUGCAUGGCUGUCGUCAGCUCGUGUCGUGAGAUGUUGGGUUAAGUCCCGCAACGAGCGCAACCCUUGUCAUUAGUUGCUACGAAAGGGCACUCUAAUGAGACUGCCGGUGACAAACCGGAGGAAGGUGGGGAUGACGUCAAGUCCUCAUGGCCCUUAUGGGUAGGGCUUCACACGUCAUACAAUGGUACAUACAGAGGGCCGCCAACCCGCGAGGGGGAGCUAAUCCCAGAAAGUGUAUCGUAGUCCGGAUCGCAGUCUGCAACUCGACUGCGUGAAGUUGGAAUCGCUAGUAAUCGCGGAUCAGCAUGUCGCGGUGAAUAUGUUCCCGGGUCUUGUACACACCGCCCGUCACACCAUGGGAGCGGGUUUUACCAGAAGUAGGUAGCUUAACCGCAGGGAGGGCGCUUACCACGGUAGGAUUCGUGACUGGGGUGAAGUCGUAACAAGGUAACC
rnacentral:rRNA from 1 species